AGUUGGAUGGGGCAGCCGGGUCAGCCCGUGAGGUUCAUGACCCCAAGGUCGGUAGUUCAAAUCUACCCCCGCUACCA
rnacentral:tRNA from 1 species